AAUCUAAAUUAUUUAUUGACACAGGAAAAUGUGUCAACAGGUGGCAAAUAGACAUAAUCAUUCAUUAACCUUAUGUAACAAUUUGUAAGAGGUCAAAAGUAAUAACAUAUCGACAAGUCAAAACAUGAAAAUGACCCGUGGAUAAACGACUUUGUCAUGAGGUCAAAAUUACAUCGUAAACAAAAUGGACAGUCAGAUCAUGGAUGUAUCUCAAGUGACAAUAACAAAGAUGCAGAAGUUAGUAAGAGCAGAAAUGUUUGGAAGAAGACAGCUGACUGUGCUCAAUAUCAAACUGAAUGAAAUAAACAAAAGGCUUAAAAUUUGCAAAGACAGAGGAGUUAAUUCACAUCUGUACGUAUUAAAACAACGGCGGAAAGUGACAGAAAACGUGAGAAAUAUGUAUGGUAUCUAUGUCAGGAGGAAAAUGACGGCAGUCGCUAGAAUGAUUAUAACUAACUUUUCAAAUUCAGUGUUUGAAUCCAGCAAUUCCAGUUCAGAUUCACAAAAUAAUGACGAAACAGAAAAUUUAAAUUCCCCUCGAAGCGAUGACGUCGAUGUAAACACUUCCGUGGACAGCAACAUAUCGACUGAUUCUUCAUCGAAUGACACUGAAUCAGCGCAGCAAGACAUUUCUGUGAAUGUUAACAGCGAGCAGACAGGGCAGCAACAAUAUUCUGAUGAUACUGAGGCUUCGAAUCAGAACAUAUUGACUUCCAGUGAAUAAUUCCAUCAGUGUUACUUUUAUUUUUUUUUUUAAAUAUUUCAUGCUCUAACAUCGAACCCAAAUGCAACUGAAAACACUGGGUCUCUUUAUAUCUGUUUUUAUAAUUUUUUUCAUUACUUACAUUAUUUUUUUGAAACUUUUUUGGCUUUAUAUUCAAACGAAAAAGGAAUUCCGGUGACAAGAACUGUAUCCCUUUCAUUUCAAAUUUUACUUUCCGAGUUUACGGUCUCUCCCCGUGAUCGGCUCUCCCACUCGCGAGGUUAAUAUGGAGAUCAGAGAGCAGCGAAAUAUAACGAUUGAAUUAUUUAGGUUAUCUGCGGGGACGUUAUUGAUUAUAUCAGAGACCUAUUAAUCAGUUAUAUUUCUUGGAUUAUGAGUGAAAGCCAAACUACGGCAAAGAUUUUAGGGUCCGUUAUAUAUCUAACGAGACAUAUAAAAGUCUUGAUAUAUAUUUCAAAUGAAACAGUUAAACAAAAUAAUUGUAAAAGCAUUAUAAUUGUGGUUGUUUUCGUUACUAGCGUGUUUACCGAAAUAAACCAAUGACUUCCUUCCUUUAAUUAGUCAUAAGAGGAAUAAUAAUUUGAGUAACAGGAAAUUCUACAAAUUGUCUUUUGUUCGUACCCUUUUAAAGAAUAUACCUUUUAUAUUUUUGUUGUUAUACCUGUGUUAUCUGUAUAAUAUUUAUAGAACUGAUUAAAUUUAUCAAACGUA